rnacentral:rRNA from 1 species
AUGACUCUAUAUGAAUGCCUUCUGCGGUGUAUCAGGAUGGGCAAUGAAACAAGAGUGACAUGUAUGAAAUUAUGCAUGGUGGCUUUGCCAGAAAUACGAUGUCAACUACAUGAUCAUGCAAGACAAUAUAAUAAUGAUGAAGCGUGUCAUAAUAAACGAAACGGUGGAAAGUUGCAUGGCAAUAUAUCUCGGAAUGGCUACGAAAAUGCCAUAAUAGGUAGGUAUGAUGCCUGUUUUGGGGAAGAUAUAAGGAGGUUUAUGUGGGUUUGGAUGCACCAGCGAAGUUUUCUCCAACUCUCAAGGUGA